rnacentral:lncRNA from 1 species
UUGUAUAGACGCACGUAUGCACGCAUGUAUGCACGCAUGCACGUACGCACGCCACUCUUUUUCUCCCCUCGACCGAGCCAACUCUGCUCCAUACUGAAAGACCGUAUCUGUCUGUGUGUAUGUGUGUGUGUGUGAGAGAGAGAGAGAGAGAGGCCACGAUAUUUUUCAGGAUGGGAUAUUUAACGCGUUGGUCAGGUCAGUAACCCCAGGCAGUCGGGGCCCUGCGAUUGGCCGGCCUCGACGACGCUCUGCCACGAAUUCCCGGCCCCUCAUUGGCCGAGCCGGGCCCUGGACCUACACCAACCUCAGGAUGUACAUACUUCGAUUAAUGUUGGGCAUCCCAACGGAAAUGUUAGCACGGACGAAGAAAAAAGUUUGGAUCGGGAGAAGUGAUAAAAGACACAUCGGCAAGUGAGAUCAAGCAACGCGAAGACUUCCAAGGCGAUUAUGUUGAUAGUUGCGAUCGUUUCAGAUCAUAAAACUGGAGAUCUCUUUGCAAAAAUAAGAAGAAGAAGAAGAGAAGAAGAAAAAUAAACUUGUCAUCAUCGGAUCAAAAGCAUCGAUGUGAUCGUAAAGGACUUUACAUAGUCAUUCUUCGGGUGUAUAUACGUCUAUCACAGAAGAAUCACUAUAUCAGUAGAACUCUAGUAUAUUUCAUACUUUACUAUUCGUUCAAAUGAGAUUGAAAUUUGAUUUACUAUUAAAAUCUGCUUUCUAUUUCUACAACAAUGUUCGUGGUUAUCCAUUCUUAUCUUUUCUUGUACUUCGAAAAUGUACGUUUCGAUAUGUCGUACUUUUCUAUCUGAUCUAAUUUACGAAUUAAAUUUCCAUUUCAUACCUUUAUAAAUUCAUGUAUUACCUAAUUGAAAUAUCCCUUAUAUUUCAUAUAUUUUAAAUAGGUCAGUUUAGUUAUUUCACGAAUAAACGGAUUUC